rnacentral:rRNA from 1 species
GCGCCCCGCGCCCGUCCCGCCGCCCCCGCCCACGGGGCGCAGCAGGCGCGAAACCUUCACAAUGUGCGAAAGCACGAUGAGGGGAUCCCAAGUGCUUGCUCGUAAGAGUAAGCUGUUUUUAUGUCUAAAAAGCAUAGAGAGUAAGGGCUGGGUAAGACGGGUGCCAGCCGCCGCGGUAAUACCUGCAGCUCAAGUGGUGACCACUAUUAUUGGGCCUAAAACGUUCGUAGCCGGUUUGGUAAAUGCCUGGGUAAAUCGUGUAGCUUAACUAUACGAAUUCCGGGUAGACUGCCAAACUUGAGACCGGGAGAAGUUAGAGGUACUCCUGGGGUAGAGGUGAAAUUCUGUAAUCCUGGGGGGACCACCAGUGGCGAAGGCGUCUAGCUAGAACGGGUCUGACGGUGAGGGACGAAGCCCUGGGGCGNNNACCGGAUUAGAUACCCGGGUAGUCCAGGGUGUAAACGCUGCUUGCUUGAUGUNANUUGGGCUCCGAGCCC